UUCCUGUUUGAUAUUGGAAGCUUUCAUGAGAGAUACUGCUGCUAGUAGAUGAUCCUGCUGCUACCUUCUGACAAAAUGCAUCUCCCUCAAGUGUUCUCAAAAACCCUUGGAAGAGAAAACUGAGAGAAUUAUGCUCCUUUGGGCUGUUAAAGCUGCUACAGAUUCAGGAUUCCUUUGGGCAAAAUGAACCACCCAGCUUUCCCAUAGAUUGGGAAAAUGUUGUUGACCUAAUUUGCAGGCUAGAAAACAAAGAUCCAAGAAGUUAAACUAGCUGCCAUUGUUAAUCCUAUGCAACAUGAUGUGUGACA